ensembl:lncRNA
CAAAAGGAUGGAACUGAAAGAUAGAUGGAACUGAAGGGUAGGUGGACCUGCAAAGUCUGAGUUGGUACUUUUCUUCCAAACAGACAAGUUUGUGUGUAAAGGAGUAGAGAUUACGUCUGAUGGCCAGCUGGCCUCAUAUAAUCAGACCUGAAAGCCAGCCGGCUGCUUCAGAGAGCUCUACGAGCCAUAGAUUCUUCAGGUGGGGAUCCAUGACCCAAACAAGACUAGAAACCAUCACAGUUGGAGCAUUUAUUCGAGAUGGAAUGAACCCGCUUCAGAAAGAAACAAAGUUUAUUUGAUGAAUAUAAAUAAGGCGAUCAGCACAAAGUACUUCUCAUACACAUGAUAACAAAUUUAUGAACUGUACAUACCUUGUACAUUGUACUUCUACUAGACACGAGGUUACAAUGACUGGCUACUACAUGCCCACUGGUAGUUUCUGAGGGUUCCUUAGUUUUAUUUAUUUAUUUUUUUCAUAUCGAAGUCCAUAAUCACAUGGUCAAUAUCACAACCCACAUGCCACUCACUUGGAGAAAUAUUACAAGAAGCACUAUCAAACGAGGGUCUCUGGGAAUUAAAUACACUGACCCCUGGCAGCAUUCAAACGCCACUCAACACAAAAACAUCUCAGAUAGAGCUUAUGUCAACACAUUUGAGGUCUCGUCAUGAACACUGUUUAAAAAGUAAAUGG